AUUGAACGCUGGCGGCAGGCCUAACACAUGCAAGUCGAGACGGAUGAAAGGGCUUGCUCCUGGAUUCAGCGGCGGACGGGUGAGUAAUACGCAGGAAUCUACCUAGUAGUGGGGGAUAACGUUUCGAAAGGGGCGCUAAUACCGGCAUACGUUCUGAGGAAGAAAGCAGGGGAUCGCAAGACCUUGCGCUAUUAGAUGAGCUUGCGUCCGAUUAGCUAGUUGGUGGGGUAAAGGCCUACCAAGGCGACGAUCGGUAACUGGUCUGAGAGGAUGAUCAGUCACACUGGAACUGAGACACGGUCCAGACUCCUACGGGAGGCAGCAGUGGGGAAUAUUGGACAAUGGGGGCAACCCUGAUCCAGCCAUGCCGCGUGUGUGAAGAAGGCCUCGGUUGUAAGNACUUAAGUCGGGAGGAAGGCCGUGA
rnacentral:rRNA from 1 species